AUUUCACCCUCUUUUAAUUUACAAUGCCUAUUCUACCCUUAUGUCUAUUUUGUGAAUCCUUCUUUUUCUCAGAUCUCACCAUCACCGAUUUAAUCUUAUUCUCAGAUGUUGCCGUCGUCAAUCUCCCUGUCGUUAAAAUCGGGAACUCGCCAUCACCGUUUCUUUCUUUCUUUCUUUAUUUCUUCUUCUCCUUCUUAGAUCUAAAAACGUCGUUGUGAUUUGUCGAUCUCAUCGUUAUUAAAAUCGAGCAAAUCGUUACUCGUCGUUGCUAGAAUUGGGAAGCGAUCAUGUUUAGCUUCGUGUUUAUCAUAUGAUGGUUUGUAAAUAUUGUCCUCCUCAGACUUAUAGGUGAUAGAUCUUGCUGGAAUUUGUUGAAUUUUCUGGGAACUGAAUUGGUUGUUGGAAGUACUUUGAUUGCUUAAUUUUUGUAAUUUGUUGAUUAUGUUUCUAAUAUUACCAAUCUUUUAUGUUCACUGGAAACUGGAAAGUAAGUUUUAUUCAUGAACUGUUAGUGUGUAUAGAUUGAGAAGUCCAUUGAUAGUAUUUGAUCCUAAAUUAUUUAUUCCUCUAUUUCCUAUAAUAAACACAAAAGCGAGAAUCCACAUGCGUCUUUGUGUAUGUGUGUUGAAAAACACACUUCUUCUUGAUAAAUAUAAGGUACGUUAAGGAAGCCCAAGUGAGGAAUAUGCUCAAGGUGAUUCAUUGAUGGGAAUAUCAACUUCACAUUUGGCCAUUACAAAGAAGCUAUAUAUGAAACAGGGAUGAGUGAAGGCCAGACUUGCAGUGGAGUUGACACGUGGAGGUGAAAAGAAAAAAACAGAGCUAAGAAAUGGAGUAAUGGAGUGCAAGGAGAAGAGCAUGUUUUGAAUUGUGGUGUUGUUUUUAAUAUAUAAUCAAAACUAGCUUUCAGUUAUUGGUUUAACGCUAUUUCUAUAUAAUCUGGUUUUGUUUCUUGUUUUGUCGAGCAGUUCUUAAGAGUUAAGACUAAUUGAAGUUAUGUAUUAACACAAGUUUUGUUGAGAGUAAGGCCUUGAAGUGUUCAUGAAUGGAUGCGUUAGGAAUCCUUAUUUCUGAUAAUCACUUUGUGCAAAAUUUGCUUUCUUUGCAAGCCCUCUUUUGCUUUUGUGGCAUCUCGAUCUGCUUCCAUUGUGUACUUAAAGAUUUGCAUUCUAUAUGAUUGUUGAAAUGCCUCAUAUGAUGGUCAUGUUUGUAUUCUUAAGCUUACACUUAUUGUCGCUUUAGUAUAAAUUGGAUUGGUGGGAGAAGAGACUUAAUGAGAUGUCAGAAAAGAAAGAGGAUGAGGAAUUGACACUACAAAAAUUGGAGGAAGAGUUGAAAGAAAUUUGAGCUGAAGUGCUUAGAAUUGGAACCUCUAGUGGAGGAAGAGAGAGAAGUUUUCUGGCUGCAAAAGCUCAUCUCUUCUCUGAUGAGAGUGGAAUUGACGAAGGUGAGGAUCUAAGAGCUGCAAUCAUGAGAGAGCUUAAAGAGGAACUGCAGUUCAUGAUAAUACUUGCACGUAUAUUUGUAAAAGACAGAACAAGUAUUUGUGUGUUGUGUGUAUUCGUUGAACUUAAAAUAUUAACUGUAGAACGUAAUUACAUUAUGAGAGAGAACAUUCCUUC